GAAGACCCAGUGGGUCACUAAGAACUAGGAGUGUCACUGUCAGCUCUCACCCUGUCGAGGGUCCACCUCGUGUUGAGGCACUUUUUUGAGGCACCCUUCCUUUUAACCAUUUCUGUCCCUACAAGUUUCCCGGAGAGCAGGUGUUCUGAGCACAGCGGAGCUCUCAUUUUAGAAGGAAAGCCAAAAAGACAAGGAAUAGAACAAGCGUGGGCUGGGGCAGGAAUUUAAAUAGUAACGACGGCCUCCCUCGGUAAAGGGAGAAGCCGAGGCCAGCGCCCAGGUGAGACUAGAAGUGUACCCACGGGGCCCCUGGAAGCUGCGCUCCAGCCAACCUGUUGGACUCGGGGCGAGGAGGUGGGGAUGGGAGGGAAGAGCAAGUGACUCACCUGCAGCUCCCGGCACAUCUGGUCUGCGCACAACCGGCGCCGCAGGGAAAGAAACUUGUAUAUGGCACAAUGGAAACAAUGAAGUUGAAGGGUACGGCUUAAUGGAUGAUGAAAAUGAGAUGUUCGGGGGACAAGAGAGGGGUGCUCCCACAUCAUCAUCAUUGGAGCAGCACUGUCAUAUUGACUAUCACACUGUCAUACCUUGCAUUCUGAUGCACCAGUGGACACCGCUCAGACCAGCAAUCUGGCUCAGCCAAUUCUGUGAUUCCUCCCAGCAACACAAGACAGCAGGCAAGGUCCAGCUCUGUCACCCACACUGGACUUCGGUGGUACAAUCCUAGCUCACUGCGGCCUCGAACUUCUGGGAUCAAGUGAUCCUCCAGGACCUUGCUCUGUGACACAGGCUGGAGUGCAGUGGUGCAAUCAUAGAUUACUGUAGACUGGAAUUCCUGAGGCUCAAGAAGUCCUCUGGCCUCAGCCUCCUAAAUAGUUGGAACUAAAUGUGCAUACCACCAUGACCAUCUAAUUAUUUUUAAAUUAUUAUUAUUAUUAUUAUUUUUUGUAGAGAGCAGGGCUUGCUAUGUUGCCCAGGCUGAUCUCAAACUCCUUGGCUUUACGCGACGUUUCCACCUUAUCAACUCAAGAUGCUGGGACUAUAGGUGAGAGCUACCAUGCCCAACCAUCAGUUCUUAAAUUCAGACUCAAAGCCUCUUUAAUGGAGAAGAAUACAGUAAUCUGAAGAAUAAUCCUGCUAUGAUGCUGAAAUUUGUAUUUAAGUGUUUCUUUUGGUCUUUUCCAAGUGACCUGAAAUCACUUACUAGUAUAACUAAGCACUGGGAAAAAGGGAAACAUAAUUUUAUGGAACUGUGGGCAGUGGUUCAGAAUUAACACUAAUUCCUGAAACCUCAAAAGUCAUUGGGAUUAACCAAUUAGAAAACUGCCAAAGUCAGAAGAUUAAUUGAAUUUUGGUUGUGGUUUGUCUCUCGGUGAACUCAUUAGUCUCCAUGUUUUCUCUGUGUCUGUGUUUCAGACAUACUCAGACCCAAACACAACCUGCAUAUUUUUUCCCUAACCUGUGAAGUGAGGGUUGUUGUUACAUGAAAGACCUAGUAGAAGCCCCUAAAAUUGCCUGUAUCUACCAAUAUAGUAAAUCAAAACUAAUGUCCACUUUUUGGAGAUAUUAAAGUGUUAAGUACCACUGUAAAUAAUCUUCAGUAGUGGUAAAUCACAUUGAAUGUUAAAGUUUUGUAGUUUCAAAUUUAACAUUUAUACGCUGGACAAACUUGUGUACGUUUUUUAUAUGGUGUGAGGUAUGGAUCAUUUUUUGCAUAUAUGUACCUAAUUUUUCCAACAUAAUCUGUUAAAAAUACUAUCCUUUCUCUACUGAAUAGCUUUGUUCUUUGCCAAAUAUCAGUUUGUCAAAAAUCAAAAUAUAUAUGUAUAUCUAUUUCUGUACUCUCUAUUUUGUUAUUUUGAUCUAGUUGUCUUAUUUGGGUGCCAGUAUCAUACUGUCUCUAGAGUAUUCUUUUUAAAUAGGGAACAAUAGACACAAAGGGCCUAUGUGAGGGCAGAGGGUGGAAGGAGAGUGAGGGUCAAAAAACUACCUAUCAGAUACUCUGCUUAUUACUAGGGUGAUAAAAUAAACUGUAUCCCAAACCUCUGUGACAUUCAAUUUACCUACAUGUACCCUAGAACCUAAAAUAAAGG